rnacentral:rRNA from 1 species
UACGUAGGGGGCGAGCGUUACCCGGAUUUACUGGGCGUAAAGAGCGUGUAGGCGGCUGGCCAAGCGUGAUGUGAAAUCUUCGGGCUUAACCCGAAAACUGCAUUGCGAACUGGUCUGGCUAGAGUGUGUGAGAGGGUAGUGGAAUUCCCGGUGUAGAGGUGAAAUUCGUAGAUAUCGGGAGGAACACCAGUGGCGAAGGCGGCUCUCUGGACAGAUACUGACGCUGAGGCGCGAAAGCGUGGGAAGCAAACAGG